UUAAGGCUAUUGCCUUAUUUUUUUUCCAUUUUUUGCCACUUUUUGAAUUAUGAAAUAAGUGGCAAAAAAUGGCAAAAAAGUAAGGCUAUAGCCUUU
rnacentral:miRNA from 1 species